rnacentral:rRNA from 1 species
CCUACGGGAGGCUGCAGUGGGGAAUAUUGCACAAUGGGGGAAACCCUGAUGCAGCGACGCCGCGUGAGUGAAGAAGUAUUUCGGUACGUAAAGCUCUAUCAGCAGGGAAGAAAAUGACGGUACCUGACUAAGAAGCCCCGGCUAACUACGUGCCAGCAGCCGCGGUAAUACGUAGGGGGCAAGCGUUAUCCGGAUUUACUGGGUGUAAAGGGAGCGUAGACGGCAGCGCAAGUCUGGAGUGAAAUCCCAUGGCUUAACCAUGGAACUGCUUUGGAAACUGUGCAGCUAGAGUGCAGGAGAGGUAAGCGGAAUUCCUAGUGUAGCGGUGAAAUGCGUAGAUAUUAGGAGGAACACCAGUGGCGAAGGCGACUUACUGGACUGUAACUGACGUUGAGGCUCGAAAGCGUGGGGAGCAAACAGGAUUAGAUACCCUAGUAGUC